UUACAUGCACUUGUGAAAAUACGUAGGUACAGUUAGAGAAUAUAUAUAUAGGAGCUAGCAGGGAGACCUGUAUUUGGCAAAAUGGUUCAGAAGGCCUGCGUUGUUUUCAUGAUUCCCUUCAUCUUAUUGUUAUUGUUCUCGUCCAACAUAGUCCAUGCUGAAGUUUUCGAUAUUCCAAAAACCAGCAAAGAGAAGGCGAAGCUGCAUGUGGACAUGGAGGUUAUUAGGGUGAAGAGAAUAGGCGUACCAGUACCUCCUACACCUAGAGCGGGUCAAGGCCGGCAUGGACGUUGACAUACAUGCAUGCAAUUAAUUUGCAGUUCAAUAACUCAAAUUAAUAAAGGAAAAACAAGCAAAUGAUAAGCCUGGCCGUACUCAUAUUGCUCACUGCAUGUGAACAAAACUAUGUACUGCAUGCCGGGCGAAAAUUAGAUCCCCGUCAUUGAUCGAAUUUGGUGUGCAAUACUUGUAAUUAGUCUAAUAUGAUUAGUCUUUUAAUUUUUGCUGUUGAUUUUAGUCCAAAAAGAUCUCUUUAUUCGUUAUCUGUUUUUUCCCUUUUUUUGGCAAGACAAGACAAUCUAACCUAUGUUAUAUUUA